UUAAGUUAUUAAGGGCGCACGGUGGAUGCCUUGGCACUAGAAGCCGAUGAAGGACGUUACUAACGACGAUAUGCUUUGGGGAGCUGUAAGUAAGCUUUGAUCCAGAGAUUUCCGAAUGGGGAAACCCAGCAUGAGUUAUGUCAUGUUAUCGAUAUGUGAAUACAUAGCAUAUCAGAAGGCACACCCGGAGAACUGAAACAUCUUAGUACCCGGAGGAAGAGAAAGAAAAUUCGAUUCCCUUAGUAGCGGCGAGCGAAACGGGAAGAGCCCAAACCAACAAGCUUGCUUGUUGGGGUUGUAGGACACUCUAUACGGAGUUACAAAGGACGACAUUAGACGAAUCAUCUGGAAAGAUGAAUCAAAGAAGGUAAUAAUCCUGUAGUCGAAAAUGUUGUCUCUCUUGAGUGGAUCCUGAGUACGACGGAGCACGUGAAAUUCCGUUGGAAUCUGGGAGGACCAUCUCCUAAGGCUAAAUACUCUCUAGUGACCGAUAGUGAACCAGUACCGUGAGGGAAAGGUGAAAAGCACCCCGGAAGGGGAGUGAAAUAGAACCUGAAACCGUGUGCUUACAAGUAGUCAGAGCCCGUUAAUGGGUGAUGGCGUGCCUUUUGUAGAAUGAACCGGCGAGUUACGAUUUGAUGCAAGGUUAAGCAGUAAAUGUGGAGCCGUAGCGAAAGCGAGUCUGAAUAGGGCGUUUAGUAUUUGGUCGUAGACCCGAAACCAGGUGAUCUACCCUUGGUCAGGUUGAAGUUCAGGUAACACUGAAUGGAGGACCGAACCGACUUACGUUGAAAAGUGAGCGGAUGAACUGAGGGUAGCGGAGAAAUUCCAAUCGAACCUGGAGAUAGCUGGUUCUCUCCGAAAUAGCUUUAGGGCUAGCCUCAAGUGAUGAUUAUUGGAGGUAGAGCACUGUUUGGACGAGGGGCCCCUCUCGGGUUACCGAAUUCAGACAAACUCCGAAUGCCAAUUAAUUUAACUUGGGAGUCAGAACAUGGGUGAUAAGGUCCGUGUUCGAAAGGGAAACAGCCCAGACCACCAGCUAAGGUCCCAAAAUAUAUGUUAAGUGGAAAAGGAUGUGGCGUUGCCCAGACAACUAGGAUGUUGGCUUAGAAGCAGCCAUCAUUUAAAGAGUGCGUAAUAGCUCACUAGUCGAGUGACACUGCGCCGAAAAUGUACCGGGGCUAAACAUAUUACCGAAGCUGUGGAUUGUCCUUUGGACAAUGGUAGGAGAGCGUUCUAAGGGCGUUGAAGCAUGAUCGUAAGGACAUGUGGAGCGCUUAGAAGUGAGAAUGCCGGUGUGAGUAGCGAAAGACGGGUGAGAAUCCCGUCCACCGAUUGACUAAGGUUUCCAGAGGAAGGCUCGUCCGCUCUGGGUUAGUCGGGUCCUAAGCUGAGGCCGACAGGCGUAGGCGAUGGAUAACAGGUUGAUAUUCCUGUACCACCUAUAAUCGUUUUAAUCGAUGGGGGGACGCAGUAGGAUAGGCGAAGCGUGCGAUUGGAUUGCACGUCUAAGCAGUAAGGCUGAGUAUUAGGCAAAUCCGGUACUCGUUAAGGCUGAGCUGUGAUGGGGAGAAGACAUUGUGUCUUCGAGUCGUUGAUUUCACACUGCCGAGAAAAGCCUCUAGAUAGAAAAUAGGUGCCCGUACCGCAAACCGACACAGGUAGUCAAGAUGAGAAUUCUAAGGUGAGCGAGCGAACUCUCGUUAAGGAACUCGGCAAAAUGACCCCGUAACUUCGGGAGAAGGGGUGCUCUUUAGGGUUAACGCCCAGAAGAGCCGCAGUGAAUAGGCCCAAGCGACUGUUUAUCAAAAACACAGGUCUCUGCUAAACCGUAAGGUGAUGUAUAGGGGCUGACGCCUGCCCGGUGCUGGAAGGUUAAGAGGAGUGGUUAGCUUCUGCGAAGCUACGAAUCGAAGCCCCAGUAAACGGCGGCCGUAACUAUAACGGUCCUAAGGUAGCGAAAUUCCUUGUCGGGUAAGUUCCGACCCGCACGAAAGGCGUAACGAUUUGGGCACUGUCUCAACGAGAGACUCGGUGAAAUCAUAGUACCUGUGAAGAUGCAGGUUACCCGCGACAGGACGGAAAGACCCCGUGGAGCUUUACUGUAGCCUGAUAUUGAAAUUCGGCACAGCUUGUACAGGAUAGGUAGGAGCCUUUGAAACGUGAGCGCUAGCUUACGUGGAGGCGCUGGUGGGAUACUACCCUAGCUGUGUUGGCUUUCUAACCCGCACCACUUAUCGUGGUGGGAGACAGUGUCAGGCGGGCAGUUUGACUGGGGCGGUCGCCUCCUAAAAGGUAACGGAGGCGCUCAAAGGUUCCCUCAGAAUGGUUGGAAAUCAUUCAUAGAGUGUAAAGGCAUAAGGGAGCUUGACUGCGAGACCUACAAGUCGAGCAGGGUCGAAAGACGGACUUAGUGAUCCGGUGGUUCCGUAUGGAAGGGCCAUCGCUCAACGGAUAAAAGCUACCCCGGGGAUAACAGGCUUAUCUCCCCCAAGAGUUCACAUCGACGGGGAGGUUUGGCACCUCGAUGUCGGCUCAUCGCAUCCUGGGGCUGUAGUCGGUCCCAAGGGUUGGGCUGUUCGCCCAUUAAAGCGGUACGCGAGCUGGGUUCAGAACGUCGUGAGACAGUUCGGUCCCUAUCCGUCGUGGGCGUAGGAAAUUUGAGAGGAGCUGUCCUUAGUACGAGAGGACCGGGAUGGACAUACCUCUGGUGUACCAGUUGUCGUGCCAACGGCAUAGCUGGGUAGCUAUGUGUGGACGGGAUAAGUGCUGAAAGCAUCUAAGCAUGAAGCCCCCCUCAAGAUGAGAUUUCCCAACUUCGGUUAUAAGAUCCCUCAAAGAUGAUGAGGUUAAUAGGUUCGAGGUGGAAGCAUGGUGACAUGUGGAGCUGACGAAUACUAAUCGAUCGAAGACUUAAUCAA
rnacentral:rRNA from 4 species